rnacentral:rRNA from 1 species
AGCGGCAAAAGCUCAAAUUUGAAAUCUGGCACCUUCGGUGUCCGAGUUGUAAUUUGAAGAUUGUAACCUUGGGGUUGGCUCUUGUCUAUGUUUCUUGGAACAGGACGUCACAGAGGGUGAGAAUCCCGUGCGAUGAGAUGCCCAAUCCUAUGUAAGGUGCUUUCGAAGAGUCGAGUUGUUUGGGAAUGCAGCUCUAAGUGGGUGGUAAAUUCCAUCUAAAGCUAAAUAUUGGCGAGAGACCGAUAGCGAACAAGUACAGUGAUGGAAAGAUGAAAAGAACUUUGAAAAGAGAGUGAAAAAGUACGUGAAAUUGUUGAAAGGGAAGGGUUUGAGAUCAGACUCGAUAUUUUGUGAGCCUUGCCUUCGUGGCGGGGUGACCCGCAGCUUAUCGGGCCAGCAUCGGUUUGGGCGGUAGGAUAAUGGCGUAGGAAUGUGACUUUGCUUCGGUGAAGUGUUAUAGCCUGCGUUGAUGCUGCCUGCCUAGACCGAGGACUGCGAUUUUAUCAAGGAUGCUGGCAUAAUGAUCCCAAACCGCCCGUCUUGA